rnacentral:lncRNA from 1 species
UAUACGGCCCGUAUAGAGUAAGAUAAACUGACAAAGGCUGCGCCCACAGACUUUGUCAGUUUAUCUUAUUCUAUACGGGUCGUAUAACCUUAUACGGCCUGUAUACACCAUGUUAAAAUAAGAUUUUACCAUGUGUUAUUAUUAACACCCUUAAAUAAACAUUUACUUUUAUUAAAAAAAAAAUACGGUGCUUUAUUGAUUAUAGCUAGUCUGAGGAAUGAUCAGCCACACUGGGACUGAGACACGACCCAGCCUCCUACGGGAGGCAGCAGUGGGGAAUUUUUUGGGAUAGGCCGAAAGCCUGACGGAG